GACGAACGCUGGCGGCGUGCCUAAUACAUGCAAGUUGAGCGCUGAAGGUUGGUACUUGUACCAACUGGAUGAGCAGCGAACGGGUGAGUAACGCGUGGGGAAUCUGCCUUUGAGCGGGGGACAACAUUUGGAAACGAAUGCUAAUACCGCAUAAAAACUUUAAACACAAGUUUUAAGUUUGAAAGAUGCAAUUGCACCACUCAAAGAUGAUCCCGCGUUGUAUUAGCUAGUUGGUGAGGUAAAGGCUCACCAAGGCGAUGAUACAUAGCCGACCUGAGAGGGUGAUCGGCCACAUUGGGACUGAGACACGGCCCAAACUCCUACGGGAGGCAGCAGUAGGGAAUCUUCGGCAAUGGACGAAAGGCUGACCGAGCAACGCCGCGUGAGUGAAGAAGGUUUUCGGAUCGUAAAACUCUGUUGGUAGAGAAGAACGUUGGUGAGAGUGGAAAGCUCAUCAAGUGACGGUAACUACCCAGAAAGGGACGGCUAACUACGUG
rnacentral:rRNA from 1 species